AUUGAACGCUGGCGGCAGGCCUAACACAUGCAAGUCGAGCGGAAACGAUCCUAGCUUGCUAGGAGGCGUCGAGCGGCGGACGGGUGAGUAACGCGUGAGAAUCUACCCAUGAGUGGGGGACAACCCGGGGAAACUCGGGCUAAUACCGCAUACGCCCUACGGGGUAAAGCAGGGGACCUUCGGGCCUUGCGCUGAUGGAUGAGCUCGCGUCGGAUUAGCUUGUUGGUGAGGUAAAGGCUCACCAAGGCGACGAUCCGUAGCUGGUCUGAGAGGAUGAUCAGCCACACCGGGACUGAGACACGGCCCGGACCCCUACGGGAGGCAGCAGUGGGGAAUCUUGGACAAUGGGGGCAACCCUGAUCCAGCCAUGCCGCGUGUGUGAAGAAGGCCUUCGGGUUGUAAAGCACUUUCAGCAGGGAGGAAGGCUUACCCCUAAUACGGGUGAGUACUUGACGUUACCUGCAGAAGAAGCACCGGCUAAUUUCGUG
rnacentral:rRNA from 1 species